AUGUAUAGCAAUAGCUGAUUGCACCAACAAAUGGUUGAUGCAAUAUUGACUCUGUCAAAUAAAAUUCUAGGUAGAAUUAUGAUAAUGACAUUGUCUGCCUAUAUGUCUUGACCAAAUUACGUGCCAGCAGUCGCGGUAAUACGUAGAAGACUAGUGUUAUUCAUCUUUAAUAGGUUUAAAGGGUACCUAGACGGUAAAUCAAGCCUUCACAGGGACUAAUUUACUAGAGUUACUUACGAGGGGGUAUUAAAGUACUGCAGGUGUAGAGAUGAAAUUCUGUCAUACCUCUUUUCAAAAGAAAAAUUAUGGCACAGGUAUAGGUGAAAGCAUCCCCUUAUGUGAUAACUGACGUUGAAGGACGAAGGCUUUGUGUCGCGAACAGGAUUAGAUACCCCAGUAGUCAAAGCAGAAAAUGAUGAAUGUCAUAGAUUAGAUAUAUAGUUUAUUCUAUAAAUGAAAAUGUAAGCAUUCCACCUCAAGAGUAAUUUGGCAACAUUGGAACUGAAAUCAUUAGACCGUUUCUGAAACCAGUAGUGAAGUAUGUUGUUUAAUUUGAUGAUCCGCAAAAAACCUUACCACAAUUUGAAUAUUUGUAUCUAUCUUUUUUUCGUAAAGAAAUAAAAAGCUAAUAUAUUUACAAGCGUUGCACGGCUGUCUUCAGUUAAUGUCGCGAGACUUUGGUUAGUUCCAUUUAAUUAACGUAAACCCUUACUUUAUUUUUAUAUGAAGUAGUUCCCCGCUAUAUUGGAUAUGAUAACAGGGACUAGGACAAGUCAUCAUGGCCUUAAUAUUGU
rnacentral:rRNA from 1 species